UCCAACCUGAGCGAUUCUAUGAAUGCAUGGUAUGUUGCAGCCAAAUAUAGGCAUUAUAUUCAACUGAUUUAAAACGCUAUAUCUUCAUUCACACAAAUUAGAAUUUUAGGUUAAAAAUAUACAGUAAAUUCUUGAUACUACUUGUGAAGAGGUUGCUUGUAAGUUCAGUACCUAGUGUUCAGUCUGGCCAAGCAUGGAUGAACACUUCUCCAUCUGUGCUGGACUUUCUCACCUAUCUCUACAUGUAAAGGUGAACUACAAUCCAAUGUUGAGACUGCCAUUAAUAAGCAUAGGUGCUAAAUGUGCUAAGUAUUUAUUUCCUCAACCAGUAUUGCUGUGGUUUUUUUAAAAAAAGUGAUUCAAACUGUUGGUUUUUGCUGUACCAUGGCACCAUUUACUCUUAGUGAAAAUUGGUUUCUGUUUUAUUCACAACUGCUGAAGGUAAUAUGUCCUCCCUGCUGAGUUUUGCUGCCUUAGGCAAUGGAUUCCACUUCUAAAUAUGUUUCAGAAAGAAGCCCUCCUCCUCCUAAAAGGGAUCACCAGGUCAUGGUGGAGAAGAAUGAAUUAAAUUUCAUUUUUAACUUGUCAUGAUUAUUUAGACUCACUUGAGAAAUCAUGUGCUCUUAUAAUAGCUUGGCUGCCAUGAGAAGCCAUGCCGGAGUGUCUGACUUUACUAGCACUUCUGAAUGUUCAUAGAGAAACUAAGGUUGACCUUCUGUACUAACCAUUUGUCACUGAAUUUCCAGUCUCUGCCAGCAACAGAGCAGUGCUUGACCUCUCUUUCCUUUUGCUUGCCAUCUAGAAGCUCUGCUACAGGGACUCCAUACCACUACCUUUUUUGUGUCCCACAUUCAACUGAAAUUCAUGUUCAUUGCAGUAAAAGUAAAUGCCCAAGUAAAAUACAAGAAUAUAAAAUUUAGCAAUGCUAAAUUUGUUUGGAUACAAGUUUAAUCUGAAGUGAUGGUUUAACAAGAAAUGCAUUAAGUACUGUCUCACCACUAGACUACAAGGAGGUGAAUUUUCCCUGUAUUCACAGUCUCUGCUCUGAAGCAUGUGCAGUAAGAUCUGUACAAGACCAGGCUGUUAUUCCUUUAGUUUCAGAGCAUUCUGGAGAUAUCUGACAGAUAUUUUCCAUAUCUGUCUUCCUGUCCCAUUCAGGUUGCUUUUCCACAUCCCAUUCCCAUUGUUUAAAAACAGUGUUCAUAUUGUAAUCAUUUUGUUGCAUGUAUAAGAAAUCGUACCUUUUGUCUUCCUGACUCCUGUGCCUUUUAACAAAC
ensembl:lncRNA